rnacentral:rRNA from 1 species
AUUGAACGCUGGCGGCAAGCCUAACACAUGCAAGUCGAACGAGUGGCGGACGGGUGAGGAAUGGCUGGGAAACUGCCUGCUGGAGGGGGAUAACUACUGGAAACGGUAGCUAAUACCGCAUACCAUCGGAUGUGCCCAGAUGGGACUAGCUAGUAGGUGGGGUAAAGGCUCACCUAGGCGACGAUCCCUAGCUGGUCUGAGCGGAUGACCAGUAACUGGGGGACUAGGACGCGGUGCAGAAUCGUACGGGAGUCACCAGUCAGGAAUAUUGCACAAGGGGCACAAGCCUGUAGCAGUCAUUCCGGGUGUAUGAAGAGGGCCUUCGGGUUGUAAAGUACUUUCAGCGGGGUGGCGUUACCCACAGAAGAAGCACCGGCUAACUCCGUGCCAGCAGCCGCGGUAAUUC